rnacentral:rRNA from 1 species
GGAUAACUACUGGAAACGGUAGCUAAUACCGCAUAACGUCGCAAGACCAAAGAGGGGGACCUUCGGGCCUCUUGCCAUCGGAUGUGCCCAGAUGGGAUUAGCUUGUUGGUGGGGUAACGGCUCACCAAGGCGACGAUCCCUAGCUGGUCUGAGAGGAUGACCAGCCACACUGGAACUGAGACACGGUCCAGACUCCUACGGGAGGCAGCAGUGGGGAAUAUUGCACAAUG